rnacentral:lncRNA from 1 species
GCUCCAAGCUGAUUCCAGAACCGCAUUAAAACCAGCUUUCUCUUGCUGAAGUUUUCAAAUAGCCGUUUUGUUUUGGUACUUUUUCUGUUCAAACAUCCGCUGAUUGAUUAUUUUUCAUGUUAAAGGUGUUAUUUUCAGGUAAAAAACAAGGAUAAAGAUAUGAUAUUGCGGCAAGUUCUAAAAGAUAAAUGUUAUCGCAACAAGCUGAAACUGUUAUAUACAAUGACGGUGGCUUGAAAGAUUCAAACGCAGAAUGGCUGAUGUAGCUAGGACAAACGUGUGCAGCCAGCGUGGCAAGGCUUUCCGCCAGAGGCAAAAUUUGCAUACGCUCGAGAAAAAUCACACAGAAACGUUUCCCUAGGGGUUUCAGCUCUCGAUAGGCAAUGAUGAAGAGAGCAUAAGUUCACACUUAAACGCUCACGACAGGAGAGGGAACAAUCCUCGGACUUUCAGUUCUGACAUUUGCGGCUAUCUGGUGGUGACCCGUUACGAACUCACCGAGCACAGUCAUGAAGACAACCGGAGUCUGCCUGCAUACAAUGUGGUGCAUUGAGUAAGCACAGGCCAUUCCUGAAUCGGGAUAUAAGGCAACAUCGCAGGAAUGUGUGUAAUUUAAACCAGUGAAUACUUUGAAAAAUUGAUGAAGACAUGUUGAUCUCGAAUGUUUAGUGGUGCAUUCUGGUCAUUGUGUCAAAUAGCAUUUUUGGCAUGAUGCAACCCUCGUGCCUCUCUAUUUUUUUGUUCUUAAACGGCUUUUAAAUUCAAAUAUCUGUUACUAUCAAAGCCAUUGACUUGUAACAUAAAAUAGUUAUUUGCUAUCAAAGUCUACACCAAUGAAACAAUUCCUGCUUCUUUGUUUGAAUUUGACAGAGUUAUGUCCGUUUCAACUAAGAAUGUUUUGGUUAAAGAUUUUAAUAAAGUCAAAUAUCGCUGUUACUAUCUGAUUUUCUGACUUUUCUGAAUUUUCCGGACAUAAUACAUUAUUUUACAAUCGUAUUAUUUUACAUGAAGUUACAUGUCUUUAAAAAUAAUAAAAUUGAAGCUGACAGUUCUGGAAUGUGUUAGUUGUAAAAUGUUACAAAUAUUUAAACGAAAAGUUCAAUCUACAUCAUGAUACAUGGCCUUAAAGGCUUAAGAGAGUUAACUGUGUAAUAACUAAAAAUUUCAACAUAAAGAAAUUCUUCAAAUUUUGUCUGUUGACUCAUGAUAAUGUCUGAAAUCGAAUUUUGAAAGAAACUUCCGAUGUCAGCAGUCUGAAUUUUUACUCGAAAAGACGAAAUGUCAAUACACACGCCAACAUGCUGUGUAUCAUCAGUUGUCGAGUCCAAUUCUUACGCUAAUUUCAUUCCGCCUUGCACAACUGUCACACGAAACACCAAGGGAUCCUUUUAACAGCAUUCCUGUCUAUGCUCAUAGUAGCUACCUUUUUUAUGCACAAGGCCCUAGUUCUCUUUGAGCGAUCAAAGUCGUGGUCCCCUGUAACAAACAAAACAGUAAAGACAAAAACUGGUAAGUCUUAUAAGAUUCAAAUAAGACUUAUUAUAAAUGCAGAUAUGACGUGUCAUGUGCCUGUUAUAACAUGUCGCCACGUAUUUAACCCCAAAACAAAUGAAUACAUACAUGUACUGCUUACGGCGUUGCCAAGGGCGUCGAUAGUUUGUUUUGCUCAUAGUUCCUUAUGAACAAACUCAAAUCGAGUGUUGGUGUUGUUUGUCUUGCUUUCGACUGGUCUCUUCAGAGUUUAUUCAAUUAUUUUGUACUAUGACGCCGUUUCCUAUGAAGUUUGUUUGUUUUGCCGGUGCAAAGGUUAUUUCAGUAAGUUUACAGACUAGAAUUUCCCCUAUUAUUAUCAUUAUAGAUAAUAAUUUUGGUAAUAGUAUUAUUACUAUUAUUAUCAUCAUCAUCAUUAUUAUUAUAAUUGUUAUUAUUAUUUCAAAUGACUAUAGGUUACAGUACAACCUCUCCUGAGCGGCUCUCUGUUAAGCAAAACCCCCUCUAUAACAACAUAUCAAACUUUCCCUCAGCUGAAAUAUACUAUCGAAUUUACCUCUCCAGAACAACAACCUCUACAUAACAGUCAAUAUUUGUAUCCAAAGGGUCUUGCUCUACAGAGGUUGCAUUGUAUUACCUGUCUUCCAUAUAUCAACGUUUAUUAGUGGGCACACGUUGUAUGAACCUGUCAUCUUCUCGUCGCUCAUAUGUGUCCAUCAGCUUGAAAACAGUCUCCCGGCUAGUUCGAUAGUAAAAGGACCUGUAAAACAAGAAUAGCUCGUAUAAUCCAAUGUAUUAUAUUUUCUUAAAAUAAAAGUAUUAAAUACUUAAUUUAGCAUUUGCAUUUAAUUUAUCAUUUAACCAGCUUUGUUUUUUUCUUGGAACCCCAUACAUGUAUCUUAAAAUAAUGAUUUUCUCAGAUGUAUUGAUUAGCCAUUGAAAUUUGUCAUAAUCUGUACAGUACUUUCUAUGCGAUAUUUGAUUUAUAUGACAAUAUUGGCUUAAGAAAGGUUUAAACCUGUAGCGAUAUCAUUGCUCUUUCUCAGUAGCAUAAUCUUAGCUCCCUGCUUUUGCCUAAAAAAUUCAUUUCCAGUAGCUGUAUUUCAGUGAAAGAGUACCAAGCGGUAAUUGUGGAAAUUAAUGGGAGCAAUGCCUUCAAUUCCAAAUUAAAAUUUUAGAUUGUUGUAACAUCAUUUAUCUUUUAAAACUAGCCGCGAUGGCAUAUGUUUUGCUCCGUGUUUUGCCUAUAAACUCGCAUUAUACACAAGAUAAAUUCGACUGACAGAUCGUGUUUAGAUGAAAGAGUGAUAUGCGUUGAUUUACGUAUGAAAACUGAUGGGAAAACGGACUUAAAAUAAGAUUAUCGUUUCAGCUUGUUGCGAUAUCAUUUAUCUUCCAGAACUUGCCGCAAUAGCACAUCUUAUUAUCUUUGGUUUUAUCUGAAAAUAACACCUUUAACGUGAAAAAGUAAUCAGUCAGCGGAUGUUUUGAGACAGAAAGUACCAAACCAAAACGGUCAUCUGAAGACUUCAGCAAGAGAAAGCUGGUUUUAAUGCGGUUCUGGAAUCAGCUUGGAGCAACAGCAAGAGCGAUUUUGAGAUUUGGGUCAGUUUGUCCCGUUUUCCAGCCAAACUAAAGCAGAGACGGACAG